CUACGAGUGGCUGCAGUGGGGAAUAUUGGACAAUGGGGGAAACCCUGAUCCAGCAAUGCCGCGUGUGUGAAGAAGGCCUGCGGGUUGUAAAGCACUUUCGGUUGGGAGGACUGCUUCUAGCACUAAUAUUGUUGGAAGUUGACGUUAGCUUCAGAAGAAGCACCGGCUAACUCCGUGCCAGCAGCCGCGGUAAUACGGAGGGUGCAAGCGUUAAUCGGAAUUACUGGGCGUAAAGCGCGCGUAGGCGGCUAGAUCAGUCGGGUGUGAAAGCCCCGGGCUUAACCUGGGAACUGCAUCCGAUACUGUCUAGCUUGAGUACAGGAGAGGAGAGUGGAAUUCCACAUGUAGCGGUGAAAUGCGUAGAUAUGUGGAGGAACACCAAUGGCGAAGGCAGCUCUCUGGCCUGAUACUGACGCUGAGGUGCGAAAGCGUGGGGAACAAACAGGAUUAGAUACCCGGGUAGUC
rnacentral:rRNA from 1 species